CAAGAUUUAAGUUAAUUAAACUAAUGGUCUUCCAAACCUUUUAUAAGAAUAUUCUUAAUCUUGA
rnacentral:tRNA from 1 species